GCAGUCGUGGCCGAUGGACUAGAAAUCCAUUGGGGUCUCCCCACACAGGUUCGAAUCCUGUCGACUGCU
rfam:Ixodes scapularis strain Wikel colony gcontig_1107728915834, whole genome shotgun sequence.